rnacentral:rRNA from 1 species
AGCGAACGCUGGCGGCAGGCCUAACACAUGCAAGUCGAACGAAGUCUUCGGACUUAGUGGCGGACGGGUGAGUAACACGUGGGAACGUACCUUUUGGUUCGGAACAACUCAGGGAAACUUGAGCUAAUACCGGAUGAGCCCUUAGGGGGAAAGAUUUAUCGCCGAAAGAGCGGCCCGCGUUAGAUUAGCUAGUUGGUGAGGUAAAGGCUCACCAAGGCUACGAUCUAUAGCUCGUCUGAGAGGAUGAUCAGCCACACUGGGACUUAGACACGGGCCCGACUCCUCCGGGAGGCUGCAGUGGGGAAUCUUGCGCAAUGGGCGAAAGCCUGACGCAGCCAUGCCGCGUGAAUGAUGAAGGUCUUAGGAUUGUAAAAUUCUUUUACCAGGGACGAUACUGACGGUACCUGGAGAAAAAGCCCCGGCUAACUUCGUGCCAGCCGCCGCCGUAACAC